GACCGUUGGUACGUAUAGGUAGAUCGCCCCCCUCCUAAGGGGAAGUUCGCCCGUUCGAAUCGGGCCGGGGUCACCA
rnacentral:tRNA from 1 species